ACCCAAAUAGCUCAGUUAGGAGAGCGUUAGACUAUAGAUCGAAAGGUCCCUGGUUCGAUCCCGGGAUUCGGCA
rnacentral:tRNA from 1 species